CUGCCAUAUGAGAUGUGCCUUUCAUUUUCCACCAUGAUCGUGAGGAACUGUAAGUCCAAUAAACCUCUUUCUUUUGUAAAUUGCCUAGUCUCAGGUAUGUCUUUAUCAGCAGUGUGAAAAUGGACGAAUACAAUGAUUAUUACUAAAAACAUUUUGUUGUAAAUGGGGUAUGUGUGAUAAAAAGGAACCCACUCUGAGCGUGAAGUACAUUGGGCACCCACUGCAGAUGCUCAGACAUGCCUCAUGGAUAUCAGCAGAGGAAAUGCUUCCUGGCUGCCUGCUACCUUCAGGGGACUGUGCUGAGUGACUUGCAGACAUUGUCUCAUCUAAUCCUCAGAAAAACAUCAUUUUAGAAAUGAGAAAACAGCUAAGAGAGCCAUUCACUUGCAAGAGGAGAAGCUGAGACUUGAACCCAUGCUAAGACCGUUCAUUCACUGUCAUCUCUCAGAAAGGCCUUGGUUUGUUGAAAGUGAUGCGUUUUGAUCCUGCCUGCCCAGAGCAGGCAAGGGCAAGAUUCCUGGAUGCAACUUCUCUGCUGAAGAGAACAUUAUCGGCUCCUGAGCUCGGACUGAGACACGCAUGCUGACUCUCCCCACUGGCUCCCCUUGGAUGCCUUCCUCCGGCCCCAUCUGUACCCCUGCAAAGGCAAGACUUGCUUGGGAGGUUUUUGAAUGUGCCUGCCUGCAUCCAACGCCUGUGCAUCCAUUACCCAGCAGAAGUGCCGUCCAUUACCCAGCUGAUGUGCUGUCCAUUACCCAGUGGAAGUGCCGUCCAUUACCCAGCAGAAGUAGAACGUCGCCAACGCUUUUGAAGUCUCUGUGCCUCCUUCUGAAUUGCAUUCCCCCUGACCCCACAUAGAAGCUCUGCAGUUAAUGAUGAACACCGCAACAGCCACCUUAUCAAAUACUUCCAAAUGCCAGCCUGAAACUCACAUGGGAGAUUGACAGAGGCCAAGGACGUGUGAUUUUUAAGCUGCUGCCAAUAAGCUACUCCUAGAGGAUACUGAAAGAUCCUUUCCUGUUUUUAAAAGAAAUAACAUGCUUCAUCAACAAUUAUUACAAACUUUGGAAGGAAACGGUACUGCAGGAGCUCUAUCUCUUUUUCUCCAGUGAAAAUUGCAUUUCUAUAAUUCAAGAUCUAGUCACAAGGGCUUAAGCAAGACCUUGUGCCAGCAAUCAGGCAUGGAUCAAAUGCACUUUUGCCUUCCUAAGCUGACGGACAUUUGAGUAGCUUCCAGUAUGGGGCUGCUAGUGAGCCAGCUGCGAGAGUGUGUCACAUGGGUCACAGUGUGCUGGUGCCCAGGACUACUCCUAAUGUGCGUGAAUGCUCACGGAGCUGCUUGGAACAGCGCCGGCUGCGCGGCAUCGUCUGUUACCCUUCUGCCGGCAGAUGCAAGCCUCGGGCGAGAAAGGCCACAGCUCCCCACCUGUGAAAACCAACUCUUGUUUCCAUGAAAAGAGUUUUUAAAAAAGAUCAGCAACUGAGAACAGAAAGGAGGAAACCAAGGCACAGCCAGGAGAAAUGACUUGCCCAGCUCAACAACCAGUGAGGAGAGGUAUCAGGAUUCAAACCAGGCAGUGUGGCUCCAGAGUCCAUGGCCUUUAUCACUGCCCCCUACCCUUUGGCAAGCUCCACUUUUGAUAGCGCUGAUGUGAUAGCAGACAACGUGUAAUUGCCAAACUUUAGUCAUCAGCACGCUAGCUUUGAAUGGAAACACAAGGGGAGUUUCCGAGCUCUGAGAAGUUUCUCUACAGCUUCUGAGGUGAGGAUCCACCCUGCAUGAAGGAUACUGGGCCACUCAGGCCUUCUCCCACUCCGCGGCAGGAUCCUAGCGCCUGAGGACACUGGAGCCAUUCCAGGUGAGAUCGGCUGUGUGACUAGCCUGCAGUGCAGCAGACAUUUGUGUAGGGCGUCUCUCCACACAUCAGAUGAGCUUCUUGACUCAGGCUAAUUUGAGCCUGUUUCAUUAUGACCUGGGUGAGAAGACACCCGAAGCCAGAGAGCACUUUGGUGCUUUUUAUGACCUUGAGAGUUUCUCUUCCUAAUAAGCUGUUUCCUGGCAUCAUUCUAGCCAAGCCCCCUUUCCCGUUUGAUAACCAAUGUUGCUGUGUUGCCAUUCCCCUCCCCUGAGUUUAAAACAUUUGACAACCUGCAUUCUAAAUGAAAAAAAUCCUGAUAUGCAACCAGUCUUGUCUUUCACAAAACUAAACAAGAGUUUCUCUUUGGCUUAACAAAAUCUUAGAGCAGCCAACCUUGGAGUGUAUUUUAGUUACUUUACAUCCAAACUGUAGGAUUUAGUGAAAAGCCAUGUGUUUACUACCAUGAAGUAGAAAUGUGUUGAAAACACACCAUCCAAUUGCUAUGGUGCAGGCUCUUCUAACAGCCUAUCGGAACUUCCUUCACUUCACAAAUGAUACACUCUAGGGUAGAACUUCCUAUUUUUAAAACCGCAUAAAUUCCCCCACCCAUUCCCCUUACAACACUUCAACAAUCUGAUUACGUCGUAUUUUCAUUUUCCUACUGUGAUUGACGCUUUAUGUGAAACCUCACCAAGCUCUGAGAAACUCCUAGGAAUGCAGUCACACUAAGUGAGAUCCACUUUUGCUGUUUUUCCUUGAUUUGAAGGUCAGAUGGACAUUCAGUAUUUUCCCCAGUUGGGUUCACUGCAAACAGGAUCAGUCUGGAAAACAUAUUCUUGUCCCAUGACGAGAAUCCAGAGGGAACUAUGUUUGCCUUUUCAUUGAUGUGAUUAUCAAUGUGGAUUUUGUAGUUUAAAAACAAAGCAACUCCAUUUUGCAACUGCAUUCUCCAUAGAAAUUUGACCUUUGGUGGGGCUGACUAAUCUUAUCAACAAAUCGGUCCCACAAUGAUUAUUCCACCCAUUAAUUCUCAGCAACAAAUGGUAAGCAAGAUGGCCAGGAAGGAUGACUGACUCCCUCGCAGGCUCGGCCAGGCUUCAGGCCCUAUCUUUGGAUCUGUGUUCAUCAUGGUGAUUGUCAACUGCAAGCCUGAUUUGAUAGCCUUUCCUCUCGUGGUAUUACUCGGAGGUAAUGUGCAAGCAGAGAGACCCGGAUGCAAAUUCUGCUCUAUAGUUGACCAUUAUCUUACAAUGAUCUCAGUUUCCCAUAACACCAAUUUCUAUGUUUUCCAUUUAUAAACACCUGUAAUUCGCCUUGCUUGGCUUUGUGAUGUGUGAGUACAAUACAUUUGAUGUUAUAAUGGAAAUGUGCACUAAUAAAAUGCACCUUUAGCCAUUUGCUAUCUUAGGGAUUUCUGUAAUGCAUUAUUUAUAAGAAAGAUGGGUUUAGCCUUUUUUUUUUUUUUUUUGGUGAGACAGAGUUUCACUCUUGUCGUCCAGGCUGGAGUGCAAUCGCAUAAUAUCAGCUUACUGCAACCUCUGCCUCCCAGGUUCAAGCUAUUCUCCUACCUCAGCCUCCCAAGUAGCUGGGACUACAGGCACAUGCCACCAAGCCUAGCUAAUUUUUGUAUUUUUAGUAGAGACGGGGUUUCACCAUGUUGGCCAGGAUGGUCUUGAACUCCUGACCUCAGGUGAUCGCCUGCCUCAGCCUCCCAAAGUGCUGGGAUUACAGGCGUGAGCCACCAUGCCCAGCCCGGCCAUUUCUAUAAUUUUGAAAACUACUGGCUAAGGAGAAUAAUGGUGCUGAGGCUGGGGGUGUCCGGAGAACCAGCAUCCAUCUCCCAAGAAAACAAGGCGGCAGCCUGGGGCCUGGGACUGGGAGGGCAAUGAAAGAGCUCAGUGUUAUGCCCAGGAGUGAGGAAGGGCCGGGGGCAUCUCUGAGCCCCUGUGAGCACAGGAGCCCUGCCUGUCUCAGGUCUGGAAGAGGGUCUCACUUCCGGCUUCAAAACGGGCUGCCUCUCCUGUGCUGCGGUGAAGCCCCUGAGUAACAGAUGCUGAAGCCCGUGUGCUAGGAACUCAGAAGACGGGGCAGUCCCGCCCCUCCCUCCAGAUUCCGCAAGGGAAAUUACAAAGGGGUCAAGAUCAGAGGAAAUGUAGCCUCAGGAGCUUUACAGGAACCCAGUGGAGCUAAAGAAGGAGAAAGAGCCUGUGCUGGGCCUCUCUGUCCCGGAACUAGGCACAGCACACAGAGCCCUUCUUUUCCCCAGGUGUCAUGCCGAGCAGGUGCUGUGGGUUUGCUGUCUACCUGGGACUCGCACCCUUCCCCUGGUCCUACUUACACUUUUUUUUUCUUGAGACAGGGUCGCACUGUGUUGUCCAGGCUGGAGUGCAGUGGCAUGAUCACGGCUCACCGCAGCCUUGACUGCUGAGGCUCAAGUGAUCCUUCCACCUCAGCCUCCCAAGUAGCUGGGACCACAGGUGCUUGCCACAGCACCUGGCUAAUUAUUUUGUAUUUUUUGUAGAGAUGGAGUUUUUGCCAUGUUGCCCAGGCUGGUCUGGAAUUCCUGGGCUCAAACAAUCCUACCUCCUCGACUUCCCAGAGUUGGGAUUACAGGUGUGAGCCACUUCACACGGUGCUCCUGGCUCAUUUAACAAAGGUACAUUGGGCAGCACAGGCCGGGGCUGGGCUCUCUUUCUUAGGGAGUUUCUCCAGCUAGAAUGACUCAGGGAUAUCCUACUCUAACAAAAUCUUUCCCUUGAUUCUGCCUUCCCCUCAAGCUACUAUCCUAUCUCAUCCCGGCAACUUCUUGAAAGAAAGGAAUCACCACCCCAGACCAUUGUGUGUGUCUCUCUCUGACCUAACACACCUGGCUCCCUGUACCCCACUGCACCAAUGACAUCAUCCUCCGAAAGGUCACCAGCAACUUCCUGAUUUCAAAACCCAGCAGCUUUCUGUCAGCCCCGAGUCCUCACUGACCUCUCACCUAGCGAUUUACACUGGCAGCCACCCGUCACCGGGGGUAUGCACUUUGCUUCUGUGACUCUACCACCUGCUUCUCCCACCACCUCUCUGAUGCUUCUGUGCUGUCUCUGAGGACUCUUCCACCUAUUCUUGUUCUUCUUAAGGAAGACGGUUGUGUCAGUCUUUCAGGGCUGCUAAUACAAGGUAACAUGACUG
rnacentral:lncRNA from 1 species